rnacentral:miRNA from 1 species
UUUGGAAAUAUUUGGCUUGACU